CUGUAUAUGAGUAGCAUUUUCAGUAAAGAAGUUUUGCGUGUAGACGAAUUCGUUGCAUACCGCUUCAUUGUAGUGCCUCAAGCAGUAACGACUCCAGUUUAUCUCUGUAUCGAUAAAAAGCGAUUUCAACACUAUAAAGGAAAUAUGCAAGAUGGCAAAGAUCAAAGGUCAAGUGAAGUGGUUCAAUGAGUCUAAAGGUUUUGGUUUUAUCACUCCGGCCGAUGGUAGUAAAGAUGUGUUUGUUCACUUUUCUGCUAUUCAAGGUAAUGGCUUUAAAACUCUGAUUGAAGGACAAAAUGUCGAAUUCGAAAUCCAAGAUGGCCAGAAAGGCCCUUCAGCCGUUAAUGUAACUGCCCUGUGAAUAAAUUCAGUUCACAGCGAUAAUAGGAUAAAUAGAAUAAUUAGCAGCUGGUAAUUAAUAUUAU
rnacentral:sRNA from 1 species